GUCUCCUUGUAUAUAUAAAAUAAGGAGUCGAGCCUGCCCGGUGAAUAUUUUUAACGGCCGCGGUACUCUGACCGUGCAAAGGUAGCAUAAUCAUUUGCCUUAUAAUUGAAGGCUAGUAUGAAUGGUUUGACAAGAAUAUAGCUGUCUCUAUAUAAUUUGGUAGAAUUUUAUUUUUAGGUGAAAAAGCCUUAAUGUAAUUAAAAGACAAGAAGACCCUAUCGAGCUUUAAAUAAGUUAGUAGAUAAAGAUUAAUAUUUAUAAAAAAUAGCUAUUAAAAAUUUUGGUUGGGGCGACUGAGGAACAAAAAAAGCUUCCUUUAAUAUGUUGAAAUACAUACAGGUAUUGAUCCAUGAUUUGUGAUUAAAGGAAUUAGUUACCGUAGGGAUAACAGCAUUAUCUUUUUUGAGAGCUCUUAUCGAAAAAAGGGUUUGUGACCUCGAUGUUGGACCAGAAUGUCCUAAAGAUGUAGAAGUCUUUAAGGGUUGGUCUGUUCGACCAUUAAAAUUCU
rnacentral:rRNA from 1 species